rnacentral:rRNA from 1 species
GGGGAAUAUUGGACAAUGGGGGCAACCCUGAUCCAGCGAUGCCGCGUGAGUGAUGAAGGCCUUCGGGUUGUAAAGCUCUUUUAUGAGGGAAGAUAAUGACGGUACCUCAAGAAAAAGUCCCGGCUAACUUCGUGCCAGCAGCCGCGGUAAUACGAAGGGGACAAGCGUUGUUCGGAAUGACUGGGCGUAAAGGGCGUGUAGGCGGUUUUUUAAGUUGGAUGUGAAAGUCCUGGGCUCAACCUGGGGAUGGCAUUCAAAACUGGAGGACUAGAGUUCGAGAGAGGAAAAUGGAAUUGUGAGUGUAGAGGUGAAAUUCGUAGAUAUUCACAAGAACACCAGUGGCGAAGGCGAUUUUCUGGCUCGAUACUGACGCUAAGGCGCGAAAGCGUGGGGAGCAAAC